rnacentral:rRNA from 1 species
GAUGAACGCUGGCGGCGUGCCUAAUACAUGCAAGUCGAGCGAACAGACGAGGAGCUUGCUCCUCUGACGUUAGCGGCGGACGGGUGAGUAACACGUGGAUAACCUACCUAUAAGACUGGGAUAACUUCGGGAAACCGGAGCUAAUACCGGAUAAUAUAUUGAACCGCAUGGUUCAAUAGUGAAAGACGGUUUUGCUGUCACUUAUAGAUGGAUCCGCGCCGCAUUAGCUAGUUGGUAAGGUAACGGCUUACCAAGGCAACGAUGCGUAGCCGACCUGAGAGGGUGACCGGCCACACUGGAACUGAGACACGGUCCAGACUCCUACGGGGGGCAGCAGUAGGGAAUCUUCCGCAAUGGGCGAAAGCCUGACGGAGCAACGCCGCGUGAGUGAUGAGGGUCUUCGGAUCGUAAAACUCUGUUAUUAGGGAAGAACAAAUGUGUAAGUAACUAUGCACGUCUUGACGGUACCUAAUCAGAAAGCCACGGCUAACUACGUG